GCAAGUCGAACGCGCGGAUCAGGAGCUUGCUCCUGUGACGCGAGUGGCGGACGGGUGAGUAACACGUAGGCAACCUGCCCAUCAGACUGGGAUAACCACGGGAAACCGUGGCUAAUACCGGAUAAUCCUUUUCCACACAGGUGGGAAAGUUGAAAGGCGGCCUUUUGGCUGUCACUGAUGGAUGGGCCUGCGGCGCAUUAGCUGGUUGGUGGGGUAACGGCCCACCAAGGCGACGAUGCGUAGCCGACCUGAGAGGGUGAUCGGCCACACUGGGACUGAGACACGGCCCAGACUCCUACGGGAGGCAGCAGUAGGGAAUCUUCCGCAAUGGACGAAAGUCUGACGGAGCAACGCCGCGUGAGUGAAGAAGGGUUUCGGCUCGUAAAACUCUGUUGUCAGGGAAGAACGCCGACGGGAGUAACUGCCCGUCGGGUGACGGUACCUGACCAGAAAGCCACGGCUAACUACGUGCCAGCAGCCGCGGUAAUACGUAGGUGGCAAGCGUUAUCCGGAAUUAUUGGGCGUAAAGCGCGCGUAGGCGGUUCGUUAAGUCUGAUGUGAAAGCCCCCGGCUCAACCGGGGAGGGUCAUUGGAAACUGGCGGACUUGAGUGCAGAAGAGGAGAGUGGAAUUCCAUGUGUAGCGGUGAAAUGCGCAGAGAUAUGGAGGAACACCAGUGGCGAAGGCGGCUCUCUGGUCUGCAACUGACGCUGAGGUGCGAAAGCGUGGGGAUCAAACAGGAUUAGAUACCCUGGUAGUCCACGCCGUAAACGAUGAGUGCUAAGUGUUAGGGGGUUUCCG
rnacentral:rRNA from 1 species